GACGAACGCUGGCGGCGUGCCUAAUACAUGCAAGUCGAACGAACCGCGACUAAGUGCUUGCACUAAGUCAAGGUGAGUGGCGAACGGGUGAGUAACACGUGGGUAACCUACCUCAUAGUGGGGGAUAACAGUCGGAAACGACUGCUAAUACCGCAUAGGACAUAGGAUCACAUGAUCCAGUGAGGAAAGGUGGCGCAAGCUAUCGCUAAGAGAUGGACCCGCGGUGCAUUAGCUAGUUGGUAGGGUAAAGGCCUACCAAGGCGAUGAUGCAUAGCCGACCUGAGAGGGUGAUCGGCCACAUUGGGACUGAGACACGGCCCAAACUCCUACGGGAGGCAGCAGUAGGGAAUCUUCCGCAAUGGACGCAAGUCUGACGGAGCAGCGCCGCGUGAGUGAAGAAGGUCUUCGGAUCGUAAAGCUCUGUUGUUAGAGAAGAACAGCGCAUAGAGUAACUGCUAUGCGUGUGACGGUAUCUAACCAGAAAGCCACGGCUAACUACGUG
rnacentral:rRNA from 1 species